rnacentral:rRNA from 1 species
AACGAACGCUGGCGGCGUGGAUAAGACAUGCAAGUCGAACGAGGAACACCUAGCUUGCUUUGUGUUCCUAGUGGCGGACGGGUGAGUAACACGUGAGUAAUCUGCCCAAAAGUGGGGGAUAGCCCGGGGAAACUCGGAUUAAUACCGCAUGUGAUCGCAAGAUUAAAGAUGGCUUUGCUAUCGCUUUUGGAUGGGCUCGCGGCCUAUCAGCUUGUUGGUGAGGUAACGGCUCACCAAGGCUCCGACGGGUAGCUGGUCUGAGAGGACGACCAGUCACACUGGAACUGAGACACGGUCCAGACACCUACGGGUGGCAGCAGUCGAGAAUCAUUCACAAUGGACGAAAGUCUGAUGGUGCGACGCCGCGUGGAGGAUGACGGCCCUAGGGUUGUAAACUCCUGUCAUCAGGGAGUAAGGCACUUGGUAGUAACUGACUGAGUGUUUGAUAGUACCUGAAGAGGAAGAGACGGCUAACUCUG